rnacentral:SRP_RNA from 1 species
GCCAGGCGUGGUGGCUCACGCCUGUAAUCCCAGCACUUUGGGAGGCUGAGGUGGGCGGAUUGCUUGAGGCCAGGAGUUCAAGACCAGCCUGGCCAACAUGGCAAAACCCUGCCUCUA